UACGGUAGGGUGCGAGCGUUGUCCGGAAUUAUUGGGCGUAAAGGGCUCGUAGGCGGUUUGUCGCGUCGGGAGUGAAAACACUGGGCUUAACUCAGUGCUUGCUUCCGAUACGGGCAGACUAGAGGUAUUCAGGGGAGAACGGAAUUCCUGGUGUAGCGGUGAAAUGCGCAGAUAGUCAGGAGGAACACCGGUGGCGAAGGCGGUUCUCUGGGAAUAUCCUGACGCUGAGGAGCGAA
rnacentral:rRNA from 1 species